rnacentral:lncRNA from 1 species
GCUAAAGGGCAUAGGCAAGGACAAUAGACUUGGAAUUUGGAAGAAUUCAUCUCUGCUGAAGAAUUCCCAGACCACUCAUGAAAACAGCAGGUUGCCUAACUCACCAGAGAAUAUUAAACCCAAAGUAAACCCUCCAUUGGUGUGCAAGCAAGUGAUUAGAGGAGGGUGUCUCAGCCGUGAGGACAAGAGCCCUCCAUGUGAGGGACCCUGAAAUUAACAUUAACUCAGAGAGUGAUUUCUUCUUGCUUCUAGAAACAGUUUGCUCUGACAGCUAUCUCAUUCAGGAGUGAAACGUAUGUUUUUGGCUGGAACAGUCCAUCUCCUGCCUCUGCAUUUCAGCCGGAAGCUAAGGGAGGUACACAAGUCCAGGGAGUUCUUCAGUUCUGGCAGAGCUGUAAGGACUUUCCUGUGGAGAAAUCACAGAGUAACAACUGCACAUGUUUCCCUCUGCUCUUUAAAUAAGCAGUCCUCCAUUUUCUGGGAUCGUUCCCAAAUACAAUAUACUAUAAUUGUAUAUCUUUUUUCCUGCAAAGGUAAUUCAUUUUAAAAUUCCUUGAAUACUCCUUAAUUUUAAUAUCUUUUCAAAUACCUUUCUACCAAUAAAUUCAGUCAUUCAUUUAAAAUAUUAUUAUGGGAUUAUGUUUUGUGAUUUUUAGCGUGGAAAAUAUGGUCAAUAUACUACUAGUUCAUGACCUUCGUUUGGCCACCCAGCUGUGUCCUGAGAAGCCUCCCUCUGGAGAAACUACUUUAAUUGGUCACCCCUGAAUGCAAGUGUGCUAGUGACAUUACUCUUAUCUGAUACAAAGUAAGCAUCUUCAGCCCUUGAUUUUCUGUUGUCUCUCUUUAUUUAACU